rnacentral:rRNA from 1 species
AGUUACUCCGCUCCUGUAACUGUUGCUAUUGAAUACACCACAAAAGUUCGAGGGACAACAUCAUAUCCACAGCAGGGAAGUGCCAUCAUUGGGUACAUGCCUAUUAUGCUUAGAAGUGGUGCCUGUGUUUUGAAUGGAAAGGAUGAAGAUGAACUAGCAAGAUAUGGUGAGUGCCCUCUUGAUCCUGGUGGUUACUUCAUUGUGAAAGGAAAUGAGAAGGUCCUUAUUAUACAAGAACAACUAUCAAAGAAUCGUAUUAUUAUUGAGACCGACAGUAAAGGAAGGGUGACUGCAUCUGUUGUGAGCAGCACACACCAAAAAAAAAGCAAGACCAUUGUUGUUAUGGAGAAGGAGAAGAUUUAUCUACAGUUGAAUCAAUUUACUAAGCUGAUUCCUAUAAUGGUUUUUAUGAAAGCCAUGGGGAUGGAAAGUGAUCAAGAGAUUCUACAAAUGAUUGGACGAGAUCCAAGAUAUGGGGACCUCCUGUUUUUAUCUAUUCAGGAAUGUGCCUCAGAGAGAAUAUAUACACAAGAGCAAGCUCUUCAGUACAUGGAUGGCAAGUUGAAGUAUCCGGAUUCAGGAAAUCUGAAGGAAAGUCGGUCAAAAUCAAUACUCCGUGAUGUUUUUCUUGCGCAUGUGCCGGUCAAUAAUGGGAACUUCAGAGCAAAGUGCAUUUACACUAGCGUAAUGUUAAGGCGCAUGAUGGAUGCAAUCUUGAAUGCUGACACUUUUGAUGAUAAGGAUUACGUAGGAAAUAAGAGGCUAGAACUGUCUGGUCAACUACUAUCACUGCUAUUCGAGGAUUUGUUCAAAACAAUGAAUUCUAAUGCUGUGAAGAGGAUGAGCGCACAAAAUAGUAAAGCCCAAACAGAUAGUUUUAAGCAGAUAAUAGAGAAGAAUAUUACCAUAACCUCUGGUUUGGAGAGGGCUAUUAACACAGGAAAUUGGGACAUAAGCCGAUUUGGGAUGAGUAGAAAGGGAGUAUCACAGUCUCUUUCUAGGUUAUCCUACAUUGCAUCUGUAGGCUACAUGACGCGCAUAUCACCGCAAUUUGAGAAGACUCGGAAAACAAGUGGACCUCGUGCGUUGCAACCUAGCCAGUGGGGUAUGCUUUGCCCAUGCGAUACUCCUGAAGGGGAACUUUGUGGAUUGAAAAAUUUAGCUUUGUUGGCUCAUGUUACAACAGAUCAAGAGGAUGGCCCACUCAUAAAUCUAUGUUAUAGUCUAGGUGUGGAAGAUUUAUCAAUUCUAUCAGGAGAAGAAAUUCAUGCACCAGGUUCAUUUGUCAUGUUCAAUGGAUUAAUACUGGGGAAACAUAGGCAACCUCAGAUAUUUGCUAAUGCUAUGAGAACAUUGCGUCGGUCAGGCUACAUUGGGGAGUUUGUAAGCAUUUUUGUAAAUGAGAAGCGGCAUUGCAUUCACAUUGCCUCUGAUGGUGGCCGUGUUUGUCGCCCACUUAUAAUCGCUGAUAAGGGGAGAUCAAGUGUCCAAGAGCAUCAUAUGAAACAACUGAGGGAUGGUAUACUCUCAUUUGAUGAUUUUCUGCGUGAUGGGUUGAUUGAAUAUCUUGAUGUCAAUGAAGAGAAUAAUGCAUUGAUUGCAUUGUAUGAGCAUGAGAAUCAAGAUGAUGUUCAGAGAAGCAGAAUCACACACAUUGAAAUAGAGCCCUUGACUAUACUAGGAGUUGUGGCUGGACUUAUUCCUUAUCCACACCAUAACCAAUCUCCACGUAACACUUAUCAGUGCGCAAUGGGUAAGCAAGCAAUGGGCAAUAUUGCAUAUAAUCAGUUGUUCCGGGCAGAUCCUCUACUAUAUUUGUUGGUGUAUGCGCAGCGUCCCCUGCUUACAACGAAAACAAUCAAGUUGGUGGGAUAUGAUAAGCUUGGGGCUGGGCAGAAUGCAACUGUUGCUGUCAUGAGUUACAGUGGAUAUGAUAUUGAAGAUGCAAUUGUAAUGAUUAAAUCAUCCCUUGAUCAUGGUUUUGGUCGCUGCAUAGCAAUCAAAAAGUACAAGGUCACUAUGCAGAAGUAUGGAAAUAAUAUAUCAGAAAAGAAUGUUAAACCAGAGAGGGAUAAAGAUGGUGUUUUGAUGAAAAAGAAUAUGCAGGCAUUGGAUGAAGAUGGAUUUGCGGAACCAGGUCAAAUAAUCCGCAAUCAUGACAUCUAUGUGAAUAAGAAAACUCCCAAGAUUAUUCCCGACAGUCCUGCCGUUAGAUUAACAGACAGGGAUUACAAGGACUCACCUGCUGUUUACCGAGGUGAUGAUGGCGAAACUACUGUAGUAGAUCGUGUAAUACUUUCAUCAGAUACAAAUGACCAAUUGACCAUUAAAUGUAUGAUCAGACACACUAGGCGGCCAGAGGUCGGUGACAAAUUUAGUAGCAGACAUGGACAGAAAGGUGUUUGUGGUACCAUUAUUCAGCAGGAAGACUUCCCCUUCUCUGAGAGAGGAAUAUGCCCUGACUUAAUUAUGAAUCCCCAUGGAUUUCCAAGUCGUAUGACAAUAGGCAAAAUGCUUGAACUUGUUGGGGGGAAGGCUGGCGUUUCGUGUGGUCGAUUUCAUUACGGCAGUGCAUUUGGUGAACCAAGUGGUAAUGCUGAUAAAGUUGAAGACAUGAGCUAUAUUCUUGUCAAGCACGGCUUCAACUAUCAUGGAAAAGAUUUAUUGUACUCAGGCAUCUUAGGCCAUCCUCUUGAGACUUAUAUCUUCAUGGGGCCAAUCUACUAUCAGAAGCUGAAGCACAUGGUUCUUGAUAAGAUGCAUGCUCGAGCUAGUGGACCACGAAUUACGCUAACCAGGCAGCCUACUGAAGGGCGAAGCCAUAAUGGAGGCCUGCGUGUUGGUGAGAUGGAGCGUGAUUGUUUAAUUGCGCAUGGUGCCAGCAUGCUAAUAUUUGAGCGUCUCCUACUAUGCAGUGACCCAUAUAAAGUGCAGGUCUGCGGAACAUGCGGUUUGUUGGGCUACUACAACCAUAAACUCAAGAUAUCAUUUUGUUCAUUCUGCAAAAAUGGGGAAAAUAUGGCCCAACUGACCAUGCCAUAUGCCUGCAAGCUUUUGUUUCAGGAACUGCAAUCGAUGAACGUUGUACCACGCCUGAAAUUAACCAAAGAAUGA